rnacentral:lncRNA from 1 species
UCUGAGUCAUUGCUCCACAUCCUGUCCCGCUCCUGCACUUCCUCAUUCAAGGCAGAAGUGACUCUCAGCAGCACGUUUGGAUCUCAGCACACGCAGAAAAGACACCGAGAGAUUCCAGAGCCUUCCCUCCCACUCCAGACAAGAAACCUAUAAGAGCCAACUGUCUCCUUUGGAAGCUGAGCAUUUCUAAACAUCCACAGAAGGUGGCAGUCCAGGUGACAGGACGCUGCAUCCAGUGUCAGUGACUGAGCUUUGUUUCCACAGGUGAGAGACAGAAGGGGAGGAAAGGAAAAAACUAUGAAAUGUCCUCUGAGCAACAAAAUGUUUUUCUGUUACGGUCCAUUAGAUAUACACACACAUAUAGGAUGUGAAUAUAUAGUCAGUGAAGUAUCUCACUGAACACCGACAAUUUUCAGAGGCAUGUGGGGAUGUGUGUAC